rnacentral:rRNA from 1 species
UACGAAGGGGGCGAGCGUUGUUCGGAAUUACUGGGCGUAAAGGGCGCGUAGGCGGCCGAUCAAGUCAGAUGUGAAAGUCCUGGGCUUAACCCUGGGGACUGCAUUUGAUACUGAUUGGCUUGAAUGCAGGAGAGGAUAGCGGAAUUCCCAGUGUAGAGGUGAAAUUCGUAGAUAUUGGGAAGAACACCGGUGGCGAAGGCGGCUAUCUGGACUGUGAUUGACGCUGGAGGCGACGAAAGCCGUGGGGAGCAAACAGG